rnacentral:tRNA from 5 species
GCGCCCGUAGCUCAGUUGGAUAGAGUACUUGGCUUCGAACCAAGUGGUCGUGGGUUCGAAUCCUGCCGGGCGCGCCA